rnacentral:rRNA from 1 species
CGGGGUGAGUAAUGUAUGGGGAUCUGCCUGAUGGCGGGGGAUAACUACUGGAAACGGUAGCUAAUACCGCAUAAUGUCUGCGGACCAAAGCGGGGGGACCUCCGGGCCUCGCGCCAUCAGAUGAACCCAUAUGGGAUUAGCUUGUAGGUAAGGUAACGGCUUACCUAGGCGACGAUCCCUAGCUGGUCUGAGAGGAUGAUCAGCCACACUGGGACUGAGACACGGCCCAG